AUAUGCCCAGACACCAGCUUUCACUUCUAUAAAUGCAAGCACAACUAAAACCCUGGAUGUAUUAGUCCAUUCUCAUGCUGCUUAUAAAGACAUACCCAAGACUGAGUAAUUUAUAAAGGAAAGAGGUUUAAUUGAUUCACAGUUCAGCAUGGCUGGGGAGCCCUCAGGAAACUUAUAAUCAUGGUGGAAGGGGAAGUAAACACAUCCUCCUUCACAUGGCGGCAGCAAGAAGAAGUGCCAAGCCAAAGGGGGAAAGCCCCUUAUAAAACCAUCAGAUUUAGUGAGAACUAACCACUAUCAUGAGAACAGGAUAGGGGGACAGCCCCCAGGAUUUAAUUAUCUCCACAUGGUUUGUCCCACAACACCUGGGGAUUUGAGUGGGGACACAGCCAAACCAUAUCACUGGAUACUACAGAUGAAAUGAAAAUACACCUCUGAAAAGUAAAAAGAAGAAGGAAAGCGACUAGAGACUUCAGGACUGGAGGAGCAACAGGGUGGUGAGAUCCCUGGGUGCUCUUUUUGUCUUAUGUAUCUCAGACCUGGAGCUAAAGGGGCCAGCAACCCAGAAACACCAACGUGUGUGUAUAUGCCCCAAAACAAAGCCUCCUCUUCCUAGCCAAAGGAUCAAGAAAUAAAUAUCAGGGAGAUCGUGUGGAAAGCCUUAGAUUCUACAACCACCCAGCAAAAAUGAGAUGUCCCUCCUGGUCCCCGUGGGGUUGUAUCAGAGGAGGCCUAAUGGCAAGUAAGGAUUUGCCCCAUUGCUCAGUGGUAACAGGGCGGCCACUACUAUAGUGUCAGUGGAGACCAUGUGGAGAGCCAGAAUGUCCAUUCUAGCUUCCCAUAUGCCAGAAACCAGGGACAAAGAUCAAGUAUAGUCUUUAUUGUAACAUAUAUCCAUAGGCAACAAGCUGAACUUUGGCUUCUCAUACCUUACACAAAUAUUAACACGGAAUGGACCACAGACUUAUGUGUAAAACAUAC
rnacentral:lncRNA from 10 species